GGGUUGUGAGGUUAAGCGACUAAGCGUACACGGUGGAUGCCCUGGCAGUCAGAGGCGAUGAAGGACGUGCUAAUCUGCGAAAAGCGUCGGUAAGGUGAUAUGAACCGUUAUAACCGGCGAUGUCCGAAUGGGGAAACCCAGUGCAAUUCGUUGCACUAUCGUUAACUGAAUACAUAGGUUAACGAGGCGAACCGGGGGAACUGAAACAUCUAAGUACCCCGAGGAAAAGAAAUCAACCGAGAUUCCCCCAGUAGCGGCGAGCGAACGGGGAGCAGCCCAGAGUCUGAAUCAGCUUGUGUGUUAGUGGAACGGUCUGGAAAGUCCGACGGUACAGGGUGAUAGUCCCGUACACCAAAAUGCACAGGCUGUGAACUCGAAGAGUAGGGCGGGACACGUGGUAUCCUGUCUGAAUAUGGGGGGACCAUCCUCCAAGGCUAAAUACUCCUGACUGACCGAUAGUGAACCAGUACCGUGAGGGAAAGGCGAAAAGAACCCCGGCGAGGGGAGUGAAAAAGAACCUGAAACCGUGUACGUACAAGCAGUGGGAGCACCUUCGGGUGUGACUGCGUACCUUUUGUAUAAUGGGUCAGCGACUUAUAUUCUGUAGCAAGGUUAACCGUAUAGGGGAGCCGCAGGGAAACCGAGUCUUAACUGGGCGUUAAGUUGCAGGGUAUAGACCCGAAACCCGGUGAUCUAGCCAUGGGCAGGUUGAAGGUUGGGUAACACUAACUGGAGGACCGAACCGACUAAUGUUGAAAAAUUAGCGGAUGACUUGUGGCUGGGGGUGAAAGGCCAAUCAAACCGGGAGAUAGCUGGUUCUCCCCGAAAGCUAUUUAGGUAGCGCCUCGUGAACUCAUCUUCGGGGGUAGAGCACUGUUUCGGCUAGGGGGUCAUCCCGACUUACCAACCCGAUGCAAACUACGAAUACCGAAGAAUGUUAUCACGGGAGACACACGGCGGGUGCUAACGUCCGUCGUGAAGAGGGAAACAACCCAGACCGCCAGCUAAGGUCCCAAAGUCAUGGUUAAGUGGGAAACGAUGUGGGAAGGCACAGACAGCCAGGAUGUUGGCUUAGAAGCAGCCAUCAUUUAAAGAAAGCGUAAUAGCUCACUGGUCGAGUCGGCCUGCGCGGAAGAUGUAACGGGGCUAAACCAUGCACCGAAGCUGCGGCAGCGACACUAUGUGUUGUUGGGUAGGGGAGCGUUCUGUAAGCCUGCGAAGGUGACCUGUGAGGGUUGCUGGAGGUAUCAGAAGUGCGAAUGCUGACAUAAGUAACGAUAAAGCGGGUGAAAAGCCCGCUCGCCGGAAGACCAAGGGUUCCUGUCCAACGUUAAUCGGGGCAGGGUGAGUCGACCCCUAAGGCGAGGCCGAAAGGCGUAGUCGAUGGGAAACAGGUUAAUAUUCCUGUACUUGGUGUUACUGCGAAGGGGGGACGGAGAAGGCUAUGUUAGCCGGGCGACGGUUGUCCCGGUUUAAGCAUGUAGGCUGGUUGUCCAGGCAAAUCCGGAUAAUCAAGGCUGAGGUGUGAUGACGAGGCACUACGGUGCUGAAGUAACAAAUGCCCUGCUUCCAGGAAAAGCCUCUAAGCAUCAGGUAACAUUAAAUCGUACCCCAAACCGACACAGGUGGUCAGGUAGAGAAUACCAAGGCGCUUGAGAGAACUCGGGUGAAGGAACUAGGCAAAAUGGUGCCGUAACUUCGGGAGAAGGCACGCUGGUGUGUAGGUGAAGCCCCUGCGGGUGGAGCUGAGACCAGUCGAAGAUACCAGCUGGCUGCAACUGUUUAUUAAAAACACAGCACUGUGCAAACACGAAAGUGGACGUAUACGGUGUGACGCCUGCCCGGUGCCGGAAGGUUAAUUGAUGGGGUUAUCCGUAAGGAGAAGCUCUUGAUCGAAGCCCCGGUAAACGGCGGCCGUAACUAUAACGGUCCUAAGGUAGCGAAAUUCCUUGUCGGGUAAGUUCCGACCUGCACGAAUGGCGUAAUGAUGGCCAGGCUGUCUCCACCCGAGACUCAGUGAAAUUGAACUCGCUGUGAAGAUGCAGUGUACCCGCGGCAAGACGGAAAGACCCCGUGAACCUUUACUAUAGCUUGACACUGAACAUUGAGCCUUGAUGUGUAGGAUAGGUGGGAGGCUUUGAAGCGUGGACGCCAGUCUGCGUGGAGCCAACCUUGAAAUACCACCCUUUAAUGUUUGAUGUUCUAACGUUGGCCCCUUAUCGGGGUUGCGGACAGUGUCUGGUGGGUAGUUUGACUGGGGCGGUCUCCUCCCAAAGCGUAACGGAGGAGCACGAAGGUUAGCUAAUCCUGGUCGGACAUCAGGAGGUUAGUGCAAUGGCAUAAGCUAGCUUGACUGCGAGCGUGACGGCGCGAGCAGGUGCGAAAGCAGGUCAUAGUGAUCCGGUGGUUCUGAAUGGAAGGGCCAUCGCUCAACGGAUAAAAGGUACUCCGGGGAUAACAGGCUGAUACCGCCCAAGAGUUCAUAUCGACGGCGGUGUUUGGCACCUCGAUGUCGGCUCAUCACAUCCUGGGGCUGAAGUAGGUCCCAAGGGUAUGGCUGUUCGCCAUUUAAAGUGGUACGCGAGCUGGGUUUAGAACGUCGUGAGACAGUUCGGUCCCUAUCUGCCGUGGGCGCUGGAGAAUUGAGGGGGGCUGCUCCUAGUACGAGAGGACCGGAGUGGACGCAUCACUGGUGUUCGGGUUGUCAUGCCAAUGGCACUGCCCGGUAGCUAAAUGCGGAAGAGAUAAGUGCUGAAAGCAUCUAAGCACGAAACUUGCCCCGAGAUGAGUUCUCCCUGAGACUUUAAGUCUCCUGAAGGAACGUUGAAGACGACGACGUUGAUAGGCCGGGUGUGUAAGCGCAGCGAUGCGUUGAGCUAACCGGUACUAAUGAACCGUGAGGCUUAACCUUACAACGCCGAAG
rnacentral:rRNA from 1 species